GACGAACGCUGGCGGCGUGCCUAAUACAUGCAAGUUGAGCGAUGAAGAUUGGUGCUUGCACCAAUUUGAAGAGCAGCGAACGGGUGAGUAACGCGUGGGGAAUCUGCCUUUGAGCGGGGGACAACAUUUGGAAACGAAUGCUAAUACCGCAUAACAACUUUAAACAUAAGUUUUAAGUUUGAAAGAUGCAAUUGCAUCACUCAAAGAUGAUCCCGCGUUGUAUUAGCUAGUUGGUGAGGUAAAGGCUCACCAAGGCGAUGAUACAUAGCCGACCUGAGAGGGUGAUCGGCCACAGUGGGACUGAGACACGGCCCAAACUCCUACGGGAGGCAGCAGUAGGGAAUCUUCGGCAAUGGACGAAAGUCUGACCGAGCAACGCCGCGUGAGUGAAGAAGGUUGUCGGAUCGUAAAACUCUGUUGGUAGAGAAGAACGUUGGUGAGAGUGGAAAGCUCAUCAAGUGACGGUAACUACCCAGAAAGGGACGGCUAACUACGUG
rnacentral:rRNA from 1 species